rnacentral:rRNA from 1 species
AGAACGAACGCUGGCGGCAGGCCUCAAACAUGCAAGUCUAGGGGUGUAGCAAUACACACCGGCGGACGGGUGCGUAACACGUGGGAAUGUACUUACUGGUUCGGAACAACUGCGGGAAACUGCAGCUAAUACCGAAUGAGCCCGAAAGGGGAAAGAUUUAUCGCCAGUAAAUCAGCCCGCGUUCGAUUAGCUAGUUGGUGAGGUAAUGGCUCACCAAGGCUCCGAUCGAUAGCUGUUCUGAGAGGAAGAUCAGCCACACUGGGACUGAGACACGGCCCAGACUCCUACGGGAGGCAGCAGUUGGGAAUCUUGGACAAUGGGGGAACCCUGAUCCAGCCAUGCCGCGUGAGUGAUGAAGGCCUUGGGUUGUAAAGCUCUUUUACCCGGGAAGAUAAUGACUGUACCGGGAGAAUAAGCUCCGGCUAACUUCGCGCCAGCAGCCGC